UACGUAGGGGGGCGAGCGUUGUCCGAAGUUACUGGGCGUAAAGCGCGCGUAGGCGGACUCUUAAGUGAGGGGUGAAAGGUUCAGGGCUCAACCCGAACACUGCCUUUCAUACUGGGGGUCUUGAGUGCGGGAGAGGCGAGUGGAAUGGUCGGUGUAGCGGUGAAAUGCGUAGAUAUCGAUCGGAACACCCAUGGCGAAGGCAGCUCGCUGGCCUGCAACUGACGCUGAGGUGCGAAAGCGUGGGGAGCAAACAGG
rnacentral:rRNA from 1 species